CGCUUGUCCCCUGGCCCAGUUGAGCCCGCACGUUACGGUGGUGACGGCCGGGCUGGCGUACCCGGCUCAGGGCCAUGUGACCUUUGAGGAUGUGGCCGUACUUCUCCCAGGAGGAGUGGGGUCUCCUUGAUGAGGCUCAGAGACGCCUGUACCACACUGUGAUGCUGGAGACCUUGGCGCUUAUAGCGUCCCUGGGUUGUUGGCAUGGGGUAAAAGCUGAGGAAGGUUUUUCUGAGCACUGUGUUUUUGUGGAAAGAGUGUCACAUUCCAGGACUCCAGAUUUAGGCCUGUCUAUCCCAGGGGCUUGUUCCUGUGUUGUGUGUGUCCCAGCAGAGAAAGACAUCUUGUACCUGGCUGAGCACGAAGGAGCGUGUGCUGGGCUGAACCUGUGAACUCGUGGGCCUUGUGGAAAACUGUGCUUGUUUAGUUCAUACAUAGACCAGAACCAGAAGCAGGACUGUGACAAGGAGGACCUUGGAAGGGAGGACCACAGGGCUUUGUUCAUGAAGAGCAAAAUCCUCGUGUCAGACAAUAUUGUCAUCUGUGGGGAAGUUGAGGAUGGUUCCCUGGGCAGCCUGGGCUCUCUC